AGAGUUUGAUCCUGGCUCAGGACGAACGCUGGCGGCGCGCCUAACACAUGCAAGUCGAACGAGCGAGAGAGAGCUUGCUUUCUCGAGCGAGUGGCGAACGGGUGAGUAACGCGUGAGGAACCUGCCUCAAAGAGGGGGACAACAGUUGGAAACGACUGCUAAUACCGCAUAAGCCCACGGGUCGGCAUCGACCAGAGGGAAAAGGAGCAAUCCGCUUUGAGAUGGCCUCGCGUCCGAUUAGCUAGUUGGUGAGGUAACGGCCCACCAAGGCGACGAUCGGUAGCCGGACUGAGAGGUUGAACGGCCACAUUGGGACUGAGACACGGCCCAGACUCCUACGGGAGGCAGCAGUGGGGAAUAUUGCACAAUGGGGGAAACCCUGAUGCAGCGACGCCGCGUGGAGGAAGAAGGUCUUCGGAUUGUAAACUCCUGUUGUUGAGGAAGAUAAUGACGGUACUCAACAAGGAAGUGACGGCUAACUACGUGCCAGCAGCCGCGGUAAAACGUAGGUCACAAGCGUUGUCCGGAAUUACUGGGUGUAAAGGGAGCGCAGGCGGGAAGACAAGUUGGAAGUGAAAUCUAUGGGCUCAACCCAUAAACUGCUUUCAAAACUGUUUUUCUUGAGUAGUGCAGAGGUAGGCGGAAUUCCCGGUGUAGCGGUGGAAUGCGUAGAUAUCGGGAGGAACACCAGUGGCGAAGGCGGCCUACUGGGCACCAACUGACGCUGAGGCUCGAAAGUGUGGGUAGCAAACAGGAUUAGAUACCCUGGUAGUCCACACCGUAAACGAUGAUUACUAGGUGUUGGAGGAUUGACCCCUUCAGUGCCGCAGUUAACACAAUAAGUAAUCCACCUGGGGAGUACGACCGCAAGGUUGAAACUCAAAGGAAUUGACGGGGGCC
rnacentral:rRNA from 1 species